rnacentral:tRNA from 3 species
GGGCGGAUAGCUCAGUUGGGAGAGCGCCGGCCUUACAAGCCGGAGGUCGCAGGUUCAAUCCCUGUUCCGCCUACCA